CGCACUUCUAUUACGUCAAAGUCUGGCUCCAAGGGCGCCUUUUAAAGGGGCCGCGCGCUCUGGGCGGCGGGGACCCGUGGGUCCCCCUGCCGCUCUGACCGGAUACCUGGGACUCCAGGAUGCUUCCGCUGGCACCCUCUGCAAGCUGCGGCCCUGUUUCCAGCCUCAGUCAGGGCCUUCGAGGGGAUGGGACCAGCGGAGCGGAGGCGGGGAGGGUCCCUGGCUGGUGAGGGAGAAGCCUCUACAAACCCUGGAGUCCAGUUUGUAAUUACCCCGUCUCCAGUGACCGGGUUCUGCACCCCAGCCACUCCCGGCAGAACAAGUAUAUGUGAUUUUGCAAUUUCCUAACACGUCCACCCAGUUCCUGAUGCAUGACUUUACUUACAAAAAAUAGAACGCUGUUGCGCCAAGAACACUGUAAAAGGAAACAUCCUUUUAAGAAACAAGCCCUAAAUCAGGUGCUUCCACAGCCAGCUGCUGCCCACUUGCAGCACCUUGCACUGGUCAGGGCCAGGUCCUGGGGCAGCAGAGCCAGGCCUAGGGACGUUUAAUUAAACCACACCCACAGAGCUCCAGGGGCUGGAAGCAAGAACAGCGUGGAUGUAGGAGUCCAGAAAUGCCUCCGGGGUAGGAUCGUUUUGGCCUGGCCUUGGGGUAGAGUGGGCCUGAGACAGAUCCUGGCCGGAACCUUCCCUGCUGGAGGCAGUGGGAGAGACCCACGUUCAGGUUAGACUGCCGCAUCUGAAGCUCCGAGGGAACCCAUCCUACAAGACAGCAAUGUGGAGCUAACACAUUUGGUGCUGAAAGACUGAGUGGUUGCCACAGAGAUUGGAAACCAGGCAAAGUUGUCUCCUUUCACCUCUUCUACACUGGAGCCCCAGUCUGGGCAAUAAAAUAAGAAAAAGAAAUAAAAUCCAUGCAGAUUGGAAAGGAAAAGGUAAAAGUGCCUUUGUGCUCAGGAAACGUGGUCAUCUGAUAGAAGAUCCUAAGGAAUCUACAAAAAGUACUGCUAAGACUUCAGGACCUAGCUCACCUGAAGCACAAAGCAGAGAAAAUGGUUCAAGUGCCUAUUCCUAGUUCUCCAAGGUUCUUUUCAAGUCUUCAUCCUCCUGGGACAGCAGAGGGCAAGAGGAUGGAGUUUCCUGACCAGAGCCCCAAGAUAGCCAAGUGAGAGGAGAGCCACUCACCAAAACAGCUGUUGUCAAGACAUUCCAGCACAGAGAGGACUGGGAAGAAGUACCUGGUCAUUCUCAUGAUCCUCCCCAGUCUAGACCCAACAAAUCAAAGGGAAAUGAAACUGGGAUCAGCCUCAGGGUCCACAGCAGAGGGGACAGGGUAAAGUAGGUGGGACAAAUAGAAGAAGGUAGCAUCAUGGGCACAGUCCAUCCCCUCCCUGAGUCAAGAUCUUUCUG
ensembl:lncRNA